rnacentral:tRNA from 1 species
CGGGAUGUAGCAUAGUAGUCUAAUGCGCCACGUUCGGGACGUGGAGAUCGUGGGUGCGAAUCCCACCAUCCCG